rnacentral:lncRNA from 1 species
GGGGAAGUCUCAGUUUUGCUUAGCUUCUACAUUUCUUGGGUGAGUCCCAAUUUGCUUAAUUUUGCUUGCAUUGGAGAGUACGAUGCGUUUCUCAAGUGACUGACCGUACUUUUAUUCCACUUGGAGAAAUAGUUAGUUAAAACAAAAUAAAAGCAUUUGUUACCUCAGUUUGAUCACGUUCCCUUCUCUGGUUAUGCUUUCGGUGGCCGCUACCAAUUUGGCAAGGCCGCCUAUUUCGAUGUUUUAUGCUCGGAGUAUCUGGUUGAGUUGAUACUCGUCAAACUCGGGCAGUAGCUUAUGAAUUCCUGCAUGAUAUUUUCGUAGCUUUUGUUCUUUUAUUUGGAAAGUCUCUGUGACUUGGUUGACGACGGGUUGUGAGUCAUAUCGGAUGAUGAUUCGCCGUGCUCCAUACUUGAGAGCUAGUUUCAGUCCUUGUAAAUGUCAAAGCAAAAAGUGAAGUUGGCAUGGCAAAGCACACGAAAGCCUGUAAGGACGCCACUGUGCAGAACCACACCUCUCAACCGUGGUAAUUUAUCUGCCAAAUAUAAUGUUUGGCCACUGUAAAGAAGGAAUAAACUAAAAUUUGUAAGGAAGAUAUCAAUUGUUAAGGACACUAGUGGAGUGCACUUAAUAGAAAAAAAGUGAAACGUGGAAAGCAUUAAUUAAAUGAUAGAAAUGUGUGUUGUUGUUAAGCUUUGUUCCAUUGACGUUUGCCAGGUUGCCCUUUCUCAUCAUCAAGAAAUGUGAUCUUCUAACUUAUUGCUUUUCGUUUUACCCUUUACUAUAACAUGAGGAUAACAUAAAAGAGCAAAGAUGAAUACAACUUUCAGCUCAUGAUCAUGCUUAUCGAAUGAGGCCAUAUUGAUGAUCAUUAAUCAACAACAAAAGUCUUCAACUUCUAUAAUAACUUCUUACGGGGAGCAUAUAUAAAAUUGUCCUACUACCUUUAUUAUUGUUUUUCUGUUUUCUGCAGCCUAUUGAAUGUAGUAGUCUUCUUUAAAUAAAGAAGAAGAAGAAAAAGAAAAUCAAAUGAUGACCCUUUAAUUAGCUGCCUCUCAUUUGCACAAGCACCAAAUACAAAAACUAAUUGGUGUAUCAAAUUUGUUUGGCUUCCCUGAAGACGCUCCACAGUUGGAAUUGAAUUUUAGAUCUAAAGGAAACUAAAAUUUUAACUAAAAAAUUCCCACAUACGACGCCAAAUUGUUUGACUCAAAAGAUAUUAAAACCUUUUUGAACAAAUCAAUCAAAGAUGAAAGGGUAAAUCUUAGUUAAAGAUAAUUAACUCUAGAUACGAGAUGAAUAAUAUGAAUAGAAAAACAUAGCUGAGUAUGAGUAUUAGCCGUGAUUAUGGUCAGAUUUAAUAGCAUAACGAAAGAUGCAUUAAGUGGCAAUAAAAUUUAAAUAAAGAAAAAGAUUUACCCAAUCUUGAGUGAGACGGAUCUUCUUUCAUUUGAUAAAGACGAAUGAUAGACAAAUACAAGAACCUUAGGACCCUUUUUGGAUCCGAAGAAGGUAUGAGAUCACUGAUCCUCCAGGGAGGUGUGUUUACAUAUUUUCUAGAGAGAGGGAGAGUGCCCUCCUUUUUUGGAAGUCCUCCCUUCCUAUUUAUAAGGGGUAUUCAUAGAAAAUCCUAAAAAAGUACAAUUAGAGGAAAUAUUAGAAUAUUCCUUUUGAGGAUUCCAAAGUAAACUAGUUAUUUCAUCGAUGUCCGACCUCAGUCUUAUUAAGGACUGUCCGACCUCGGCUAUUGAUGACUGUCCGACCUCAGUCUUAUGGUUGUCCGACCUCGGCCUGUCCGACCUCGGCCUUAUGACUCCGCAUACCGAAUUUCUCUGAUCUAAUUUUGACCCGUACAGAAAUGAUAUUCAGCUUCUAUUACUGAAGGUUUUACAUGUAAUAAAGAUAUUCUCUAAGUUUCACUUCAAAAACUAAUCCAAAAUCUUCAAAAUUAACCUUUCAGAUUACCCACAAAAAAAAAAAACCAUAAUCAAGCGUGCCACACAAAAGAAUAAAUUGAAAAAAUGAAUUUGUUACGUACUAUUUAUGGAGUGAAUAUUAUAUUUGGAGUCACAUGAUUACCUUUUCUUGUUGCACAGAAUAUAAUAGUAGGAAAGUUAUAGUUCUAAAAUAAGAGGGAUAUUCGUUACAAAAUUUAAGAAGUUUGAAAACUUUACUUUAAGGACGUCAAUAUUAUUUUGACAUGGACUAAAAGAGAAAUAAGAAUAGUACCACUAUUAGAAAUUCGGUAAAAAUCGAUCACGGUCGAUCGACCAAUUUGGUCGAUUUUUCAAUAUAUUUUAAUUUUUAAUAUUUUUUUACGAAACUGACCAACUUUGAUCGUUUUUUUUUAUGCAAAAAUGCGAGAAACUAUUUUUAAAUCCCGUAAAAUUUAUUUUUCAAGUAAUCGACGAACUUUGGUAAGUGAACGCAUGAUUUAGACGCACAUCAAAGAGUUUAAAUUUAUUGUGAUAAAACCUACGUAAUAUUUGAGUGGAGAGAGGUAAAUCAACGCUACGGUAACUAUUAUCAGAGUUUUUUGACCAUGUACUUGCCUAACCACCCAGAUUUCUUAGUUAUCCAAAAAUAAAGAAAAGAAGAACAAAUAUAGAAGGGAAGGUAGAAAAAAACUUACAGCCAACGCAAUAAAUAUAGCAACUACUAACAAAAUAGAGCAAAGUAAAUAAAAGACCAAUAAAUUCCGAAGAUCAAGGAAACCUACCAUAAUACGACAACACUAUUAGGUGUUUGAAGUAAAACUAUUUUAUUAUAACUCUCUCUCUCACCUAUUUCAAUUACAAACACGAAAGUAUGUUUCCAUAUUUAUUUUAACAGCAAAUUUUAUUUAGAUAUGAAUUAAACAAAUCAAAUCAUAAAUAACUAAUAUUUUCUACUACGACUUUAAAUUAGUUUUCUAACCGUGUUUAUUUGGUUUUUUCUUUUUCCCAUAGGGUCGUUUGCUUUUUUUCUUUUUCUUUUUCCCCGACGAGUAAAAAGAUUGGAAUUCUAAUAAAGUAAUUAUAAUAGAAAAAUUAAAUGAUAGUGUGAUUAUUCAGUGAAUAUACUUUUAUUAAUAGAUAUUUGAUAUUAGGACAAAAAAUGAAUAUAAAUAUGUUAAACUUUUAUUUCCAAAUAACCUUAUCUUCCUUAUGAAAGAAAAGCUAUGGAGUCGUGUGGUUUUAUUAUUUUAUCUUGGGAUUGCUAAUUUCAAGAUUGUUAUCCCACAUAACAUAGAGUGUGAUAUAAAAUAACACCACAAUUGUAGCAUAAACAAUAUUAUUUCCAAAAUAAAAAAUUGAACCAAAUAUGAGAGAAAUAAUCCUAUAAUUUUUCCUGGGAUUAUAGUCUGUUAUUCCACCAACCAAACAACCCCUUAAAAUUCUAAGAAACAACUACUACAACAUCUAAAUCAGAACAACCAUGUAUACAUGUAUGAUAGAAGAAGAGAAAGGGAUGAAAUAAGUACCUUAGAAUGAAGAGCUUCUGUUUCUUGAAACAAGUAGUGGAACAAUGACCCUGAAAUAUUCCAAGAAGAAGAAGAAGCUUCUUUGUACAAGGUGGGAGUUAUUGG